CAGUCGCCACGGGAAUACGUAGGGUGCAAGCGUUAAUCGGAAUUACUGGGCGUAAAGAGUGUGUAGGCGGUGCUCUAAGUUCGGUGUGAAAUCUCCCGGCUCAACUGGGAGGGUGCGCCGGAAACUGGAGUGCUCGAGCGUGGGAGAGGAAAGCGGAAUUCCUGGUGUAGCGGUGAAAUGCGUAGAUAUCAGGAGGAACACCUGUGGUGUAGACGGCUUUCUGGACCAUUGCUGACGCUGAGACACGAAAGCGUGGGUAGCAAACAGGAUUAGAUACCCGCGUAGUCCCUGUCUCUUAUAC
rnacentral:rRNA from 1 species